rnacentral:rRNA from 1 species
GACGAACCGUGCGAACGUUGUUCGGAUUCACUGGGCUUAAAGGCGCGUAGGCGGGUCACCAAGUCCGGGGUGAAAUCUUUCGGCUCAACCGGAAAAUUGCCUGGGAUACUGGUGGCCUUGAGGGAGGUAGGGGCAUGCGGAACUUCCGGUGGAGCGGUGAAAUGCGUAGAUAUCGGAAGGAACACCGGUGGCGAAGGCGGGUUGCUGGGCUGACACUGACGCUGAUGCGCGAAAGCCAGGGAGCGAACGGG